rnacentral:rRNA from 1 species
UGGGGGAUAACGUUCGGAAACGGACGCUAAUACCGCAUACGUCCUACGGGAGAAAGCAGGGGACCUUCGGGCCUUGCGCUAUCAGAUGAGCCUAGGUCGGAUUAGCUAGUUGGUGAGGUAAUGGCUCACCAAGGCGACGAUCCGUAACUGGUCUGAGAGGAUGAUCGGUCACACUGGAACUGAGACACGGUCCAGACUCCUACGGGAGGCAGCAGUGGGGAAUAUUGGACAAUGGGCGAAAGCCUGAUCCAGCCAUGCCGCGUGUGUGAAGAAGGUCUUCGGAUUGUAAAGCACUUUAAGUUGGGAGGAAGGGUACUUACCUAAUACGUGAGUAUUUUGACGUUACCGACAGAAUAAGCACCGGCUAACUCUGUGCCAGCAGCCGCGGUAAUACAGAGGGUGCAAGCGUUAAUCGGAAUUACUGGGCGUAAAGCGCGCGUAGGUGGUUCGUUAAGUUGGAUGUGAAAUCCCCGGGCUCAACCUGGGAACUGCAUCCGAAACUGGCGAGCUAGAGUAUGGUAGAGGGUGGUGGAAUUUCCUGUGUAGCGGUGAAAUGCGUAGAUAUAGGAAGGAACACCAGUGGCGAAGGCGACCACCUGGACUGAUACUGACACUGAGGUGCGAAAGCGUGGGGAGCAAACAGGAUUAUAUACCCUGGUAGUCCACGCCGUAAACGAUGUCAACUAGCCGUUGGGAGCCUUGAGCUCUUACUGGCGCAGCUAACGCAUUAAGUUGACCGCCCUGGGGAGUACGCGCCGCAAGGUUAAAAACUCAAAUGAAUUGACGUUGUGCUCGGCACAAGCGGUGGAGCAUGUGGUUUAAUUCGAAGCAACUCCUCACAACCUUACCAUGCUCUUGACAUCCAAUGAACUUCUCUAGAGAUAGAUUGAUGCCUGUCAUGGAAGCAUUGAGACAGGUGCCUGCAUAUGCUCGCUCACUGCUCUCGUGCUCGUGAGAUGUUGGAGCUGUAGUUCCUCAGUUAUCGAGUCGUCGACUCAUC